rnacentral:rRNA from 1 species
GCGCACGGGUGAGUAACGCGUGGGAACCUACCCUGGAGUGGGGAAUAACUACUGGAAACGGUAGCUAAUACCGCAUAAUCCCUGAGGGGGAAAGGCUUCGGCCGCUCCUGGAUGGUCCCGCGUCCGAUUAGCUUGUUGGUGGGGUAACGGCCUACCAAGGCGACGAUCGGUAGCUGGUCUGAGAGGAUGGACAGCCACACUGGGACUGAGACACGGCCCAGACUCC